rnacentral:sRNA from 1 species
AAAGCCGGCUUCCGGAAGCCGGGACGAUGUCCCCAUGACAACCGACGUUGGAGUUUGGAGGUGCUUGCCUUAGAGCAAGGGAAACAGCUCUCAUUCAAAGGAACUAGAAGCCUCUCCCUCAGUGGUAGGGAGAGAGCCAGGAGCGGUUUUCUGGGAACUGUGGGAUGUGCCCUUGGGGGCCCGAGAAAACAGAAGGAAAAUGCUCCAGACCAGUAACUACAGCCUGGUGCUCUCUCUGCAGUUCCUGCUGCUGUCCUAUGACCUCUUUGUCAAUUCCUUCUCAGAACUGCUCCAAAAGACUCCUGUCAUCCAGCUUGUGCUCUUCAUGUGCGUGCAGUAAGGCACUCUGGAAAGCUGAACCCACACAAUUCAAAGGCCCUGACAGUGGUGAUUUAGUGUCUUAAAGUUAUUAGUAGGCUGGGUACGGUGGCUCACACCCAUAAUCCCAGGACUUUGGGAAGCCAAGGCAGGAGGAUCUUUUGAGGCUGGGAGUUUGAGGACCAGCCUAGGCAACAUAGCAAGACCCUGUCUCUACCUACUAAAAAUUUUUAAAAUUAGCUAGGCAUGGUGCCACACACCUGUAAUCGCAGUGAUUCAGGAUGCUGACGUGG